rnacentral:rRNA from 1 species
GAUCCGGCUCAGGAUAAACGCUGGCGGCGUGCUUAACACAUGCAAGUCGAACGAAGUUUUUCUUUCGGGAGGAACUUAGUGGCGGACGGGUGAGUAACGCGUGGGUAACCUGCCCUGUACAGGGGGACAACAGCUGGAAACGGCUGCUAAUACCGCAUAAGCCCUUAGCACUGCAUGGUGCAUAGGGAAAAGGAGCAAUCCGGUACAGGAUGGACCCGCGUCUGAUUAGCCAGUUGGCAGGGUAACGGCCUACCAAAGCG